rnacentral:lncRNA from 1 species
CCGCCCGCCGUUCUUCCUCCCCUCCCAUCCUCCCUCACCCACAUCCACCCCAUCCGAUCUACCGCCGCGGAGUGGCCGGCCGGCCGGCCGCGGGACUGGCGCGGCUCGAGGACGCCGGACGUCGGCGACCGGGGAGAAGCGCUGCCGUGGUACCUUACCGCAGCGGAUAGGCCUCGGCGCGGAAGCGGGAGGAGGGAGCCGGCGGUCACCGUGGACGGUAAGAGCAGCGGCCGUACUGUGGCGCCGCAUCGCCCCGCGACCAUGAUUGAUUUCCACCAGCUUGAUUGUAGACGUCCAUUUCUGAAGGCCCCUCACCAAGUAGAGUAGAGUAGAGU